rnacentral:rRNA from 20 species
GGCCUUUAGAAAAAGAUUAAAAGGUCCGUCCUGCCCGGUGACGAAGUUAAACGGCUGCAGUACUCUGACUGUGCAAAGGUAGCAUGAUCAAUUGUCCGGUAAUUCCGGUCUGGUAUGAAUGGGUAGACGAUAGGGGAGCUGUCUCUUUCUACUGGUGUUGAAGUUGGCUAUCAGGUGCAGAGACCUGAAUUUUGUAACGGGACGAGAAGACCCUAUAGAGCUUUAGUUUAUCUCAUGAAGUUUUUAUGGAGGAAAUUUUAGUUGGGGCAACUGAUAUUCUUAUUAGACAUUAUCUGUUAUUUAGGCUACUUUUAAGUUGGUGUGACCUUGAAGGUUCGAAGCAUAAGAAAGAGUUACCUUAGGGAUAACAGCGUAAUUUCUCUUGAGAGUUCUUAUUAACAGAGGAGUUUGCGACCUCGAUGUUGGAUCAA